rnacentral:rRNA from 1 species
GAUGAACGCUGGCGGUCUGCUUAACACAUGCAAGUCGAACGGACUCUUCGGAGUUAGUGGCGGACGGGUGAGUAACGCGUGAGAAUCUGGCUUCAGGACGGGGACAACAGUGGGAAACUGCUGCUAAUACCGGAUGAGCCGAAAGGUAAAAGAUUUAUCGCCUGAAGAUGAGCUCGCGUCCGAUUAGCUAGUUGGGGGUGUAAAAGACCACCAAGGCGACGAUCGGUAGCUGGUCUGAGAGGAUGACCAGCCACACUGGGACUGAGACACGGCCCAGACUCCUACGGGAGGCAGCAGUGGGGAAUUUUCCGCAAUGGGCGAAAGCCUGACGGAGCAAGACCGCGUGAGGGAGGAAGGCUCUUGGGUUGUAAACCUCUUUUCUCAAGGAAGAUAAUGACGGUACUUGAGGAAUCAGCAUCGGCUAACUCCGUGCCAGCAGCCGCAGUAAUAC